rnacentral:lncRNA from 1 species
UUGUGCCAAUACACUUACCCUCUUCAAGCGAGCGUAAUUGAGUUUGCGGGUGCAACCUGAUCGACCUCACUUUGAGGAGUUUACCACAGAGUGUACCUGGGGACCUCAUUGGACCGGACUGGAGCCCAACAACUGCCUCCUCCUACCCAUUCCGGUUGAGUUUCCUGAUGGCCUUCUGAGGUCAUCAUUACCACCACCACCACCAAAUCAGCCUAAGCCUGGAUGUGUUUCUAACCCUAGCUCCUGUUUUACUCCAACUACGCUGGCCACGCCGGCCCAGCCACUUCACUUCACAGCCAGAACACCAGCCCCCAUUCUUUGCAAGGGGCCCUGGGGUGUCUUCAAAACCCAGCUUCAGAAGGACUGAAGGACACUGGGAUGGCUGUGGAGAUAAGUGAACUGUCUUUGUCAGCCUGAGAACAACACCAGGGCUGUCGCUGCAUCCUAAUUCCACGUUUGUCUCCCCGUCUGAUCUGGAAGGUAUUUGCUCUAUUUCAGGUCUUCUUGUAAUUAACUUGUUUUAAUUUUUUUCAAUGAACCCAGCAUCUUGCACACAACAGGCAAGCCUCUACCACUCAACCACACCACCCAGCCCUAAACUUCAAUUUUAAUCCAGUAAAUGCAGUUUUUGGAAUUGCUUGGAGUAAGUACAGAGGCUUACAAUUUUAGAUAGACAGUACCGCUGAAAACGACCCUGUAACCUUGCUGUCUGUGAUGGGCUUGAUCUUACAGAUUGUUCAUUUUCUAGUCUUGAAAAGGGUGCUUUAUGUCCAGUUUUUACCAUUUUUUCUCUGCUUUCACUCUUCCAAUGCAACUAAAUGAUUACAUCUGAUAAAUCAGCAUUAAGUGUGUACAGCGUAUAGACUUUGGUAUACAUUUCAGGGAAGAGUUAAAAAUCGCCUCCCAAGGGGCUGCCAAUAAGCCUUACAACCUAAAUCCAACUACUGCAAGUUGUCCUCAGGUCUGCACAUGUGCGGUGCACACACAUACUCAUGCACUAAAUAAAUAACUAAUAAAAAUAUCCA